AUUGAACGCUAGCGGGAUGCUUUACACAUGCAAGUCGAACGCAGUGGGGACGGGUGAGUAACACGUGGGUAACCUCCCAUCAGAGGGGAUAACACUUGGAAACAGGUGCUAAACCGAUACUGAUGGAUGGACCCGCGGUACAUUAGCUAGUGGGUGAGGUAACGGCUCACCAAGGCCACGAUGCAUAGCCGACCUGGGAGGGUGAUCGGACACACUGGGACGGAGACACGGCCCAGACUCCUACGGGAGGCAGCAGUAGGGAAUCUGCGGCAAUGGACGAAAGUCUGACCGAGCAACGCCGCGUGAGUGAAGAAGGUUUUCGGAGCGUAAAACGCUGUUGUUAGAGAAGCGGUAUCUAACCAGAAAGCCACGGCUAACUACGUGCCAGCAGCCGCGGUAAUAC
rnacentral:rRNA from 1 species